GCGCGCCUGCGGCUGCGUUUCCGGUCGGAGGCUUUUGCCGAGCGCCCCGCGUCCCUAGGGGGCGGCGGCGGCUGAGGCAGCGGAGGCAGCAGGGGGAUCCGGAAGUCAACACCAUGUCGAGUCUGCAUAAGAGCCGGAUUGCAGAUUUCCAGGAUGUCCUGAAGGAGCCCACUAUUGCCUUGGAAAAGCUUCGGGAACUCAGUUUUAGUGGCAUCCCCUGUGAGGGCGGACUGCGGUGCCUCUGCUGGAAGAUUCUCUUGAACUACCUCCCCUUGGAGAGAGCCUCCUGGAGCUCCAUCCUGGCUAAGCAGAGGGAGCUGUAUUCUCAGUUCCUGAGGGAAAUGAUCAUCCAGCCUGGCAUUGCCAAGGCCAACAUGGGUGUGUCCAGGGAAGAUGUGACCUUUGAGGACCAUCCACUCAACCCCAACCCUGACAGCCGCUGGAACACAUACUUCAGGGACAACGAGGUGCUGCUGCAGAUCGACAAAGAUGUCCGGAGAUUGUGCCCAGACAUAUCCUUCUUCCAGAGGGCCACUGAGUACCCCUGCCUCCUCAUCCUGGAUCCCCAGAAUGAGUUUGAGACCCUUCGUAAGCGGGUGGAACAGACGACACUGAAAUCCCAGACGGUGGCCCGGAACCGGAGUGGGGUCACAAAUAUGAGCUCCCCACACAAGAACUCGGCACCAUCAUCCCUGAACGAGUACGAGGUGCUGCCCAACGGCUGUGAGGCCCACUGGGAAGUGGUGGAGCGGAUUCUGUUCAUCUACGCCAAGCUGAACCCUGGCAUCGCUUACGUGCAGGGCAUGAAUGAGAUCGUGGGGCCCCUCUACUAUACCUUUGCCACUGACCCCAACAGCGAGUGGAAAGAGCACGCGGAGGCAGACACCUUCUUCUGCUUCACCAACCUCAUGGCCGAGAUCCGGGACAACUUCAUCAAGAGCCUUGACGACUCACAAUGUGGCAUCACCUACAAGAUGGAAAAGGUGUACUCCACCCUGAAGGAUAAGGACAUGGAACUCUACAUGAAACUGCAAGAGCAGAACAUCAAGCCCCAGUUCUUUGCCUUCCGCUGGCUGACACUGCUGCUCUCCCAGGAGUUCUUGCUGCCAGAUGUCAUCCGAAUCUGGGAUUCCCUCUUCGCCGAUGACAACCGCUUUGAGUUCCUCCUCGUCGUCUGCUGCGCUAUGCUCAUACUGAUCCGGGAGCAGUUGCUGGAAGGGGACUUCACCGUAAACAUGCGGCUCCUGCAGGAUUACCCCAUCACAGACGUCUGCCAGAUCCUACAGAAAGCCAAGGAACUCCAAGACUCACAGUAGCCUGGCGGCAAGAGGCCUGGGUUUGGGAGAGAAGCCACCGACCCGUGUGCCCUGGCUUCUGGGACAUGCAGAAGCCUGUGGGAUCCCAGCUGGGUUUGAGGGAGAAGCUGAGGGUUGGCCUGUCCAGGCCUCUCAGCCUGGCCGCUCCCACCGGGGGUAUGCUGCGCCACGCUCCUUCCUAACACCGAGCCCUGGCUCCUCCCACUCUGACCCUGGGACCCUUUGCCCAGGCUGCUGAGCAAGGCAGAGCUCAUGAAGUUGUUUCCUGGGGCUGGGGCAGAUGGGGGGCUGGGGGCUGGCAGGGGCCCCUCCUGGUGUCUGCUCUGCGGCUCCCUUCCUCUCCUGCUCUGUCUUCUGGGGUCUGGUCCAGGAGGUGCUUGGCAAAUGAGCCAGAAACCACUUCUGGGGGUUGGUGCUCCGGCUUCUCCACGGGGAGGGUGACACUGAAGGAGCUAAGAGGCUGCCAGGCCCAGGUCACAUCCUCUGUCCCUUUCCCACUGAGCAUGUGCGUCUGUGUGUGUGUAGCCAUAGGCUGGUGUAUGUGUCUCUAAUCCCCCAGGUGUGUGCUUCCCCUCCAUCUGUGUGUGUGUGUAUGUCUGUGCAUGGCGGGCAGUAUAUCCCUCUGGGUCUCUGUUUCACCUUCUCUAUCUCUUCAUCUCUCCCUCCAUCUCUGCCGCAGAGGGUGUGUGUGGCCCUCGCUCUGUCUGCCCUUCUCUCCAUUGCUCUCCCUCUGCCCUCCUCUCUUGGGGUGCCUUAUCCCCGGCCUCUUCCCCUUUUUCCUCCCCUCCACACCUGUGAACCCUGGAGACAGAAUGAAGAGUCAGGCUGAGCAAAGCUCCUGGAGGUCAACCUUGGCCUUUGCACCCUGUUCCCAUUUCCCAGCUCUAGGGUCCCAGGUCUCCCAGUCCACAGUGCCUCACUUGAGGGCCCUGAACCUGCUCCCCACCACAGAAUUCUUGGAAACCUGCUCCCUGUCACAGAAUUGACGGCCCAUGAAGCUUUGAGCCUCUCACCCUCCAGCCCAGGGACAGAGGAGGGAGGAGAGGGAGAACUGUGUCCUCCAGAGCUUCCCCCAAAGGUCCUUCUCUCUCAAAGAGGACAUGAAGGUGAUUCAGUACCCUGGAUCCGGGUGCUUCUGAGAUGUAGUCAUUCCAUGUCUUCCAGGUCCUGGCCCAGGGCAGGCGAAUCCUGUCAAGGGCAAGCGGGACCAAAAGGAGCCUCUCUGGGCCAGGCAGAGCUGAGCUUAAAGGCCCUGGGUCCUGUUGGUGCCAGGAAGGCCAGGUCUCCCCAGGCAGGGGAGGUGGAGGAGGUGCUGGCCCUUCUCUGGGCACCUGCUUGGGCUGUUCCCAGGAUUUGGGGCAGGCGCAUACUGAGUGGGAGCAGCUGGGUACUCCUACUGCUGGGCUGUGGAGGGGUGGGCUUAUUCUGACCAUGCCCCCUUUCUCGUGCUGUGAGGAGGCAGGUGUUUUGCGCCUGGAAGGCUGGGGAAUGUAGCAAGGGUCCUUUUCAUCUCAAGACUGGCCAGCAGGGGUCCUCAGCCCCCCCCCCCCCCAGCGCCUUCCUGAGUCUGACGGCUAGGACUCCUGGCUGUGGGCCAGGGACGGCUUUCCCCAGGCGGCUCCUUUCCAGGCUGUACCUUGGUUGCUUCUGGGACUUCAUGCACGUGCCCUUUUGCCUCCUCUCCCAACAGUUAUUUGGGCAAUUUUUUACUAUUUAUUCAGACUCCUGGUUAUUUAUUGCAGAUUGGCAAGUGUUUGAUUUGGGGACGAAGGGUGGGGCUGGAAAGGUGUAUGAGUUGGAGACAUGGUCUUCCUGACUUUCCAAGGUCAGAGUCAGCAUCCUCUCCCUGCCUCUGGGACCUUCCUGGUUUUCUAGCAGGUCCUGGCUAGAAGGGCUCUGAGCUCUGUAACAGAACUGGGAAUAGGAAACGAGAGGGCUGGUAUCCUUGCCAGAUUCCAAGACCUGGCAUACUGUUUCCCACCAGCCUGGCUCACCCUCUUCCCAGAACUUGUCAGCUGGUCGUUCAGCUCCAACUUGAUACCUUCACAGCCUAAGGCUUGGGCCACAGGCAGGGACCCAGCAGACACUGCCCAGGACAUCUGAUGCAUUCCCUCUUGCCUGUCCCUCUGCCUUCCUUCCUGCGCCCAUACUACUUGAAAUCUUUGCAUCUAAUUUGCCUCAGUGGCAGACAUUGGUCCAGUGCCCUCUCCUUGACCCUGGGAUGAAGGUCAAAAGCACAGGGACCAUGUCCAUGUUAGACUGAGCUCCCCAGUGGAUACUGCCUGAGGAGAGGACCUGUGCUUGGCAGUCUCCCCUCCCCAGACUCAACGGAGGUCCCCAGAGAGCCAGAGAUCCCGAAGCCUCCUGCCUGGGAAGCUGCCCCCAGGACUUUGGAUACCUAAAGAAUGGGCUGUAUGAAUUCAGCAAGUCUCACUCCAAGGAUCAGAAUUGGGCAUUGGUUCUGUGAUGGGCUGAAACCUUCCAGACCUCGGAGCAGGAAAAAAUACUUGAGCAGAGGUGAAGUCAGGAGGCUCUUACAGUAGUCAAAGGAAAAGGCUAGGAAAUUUUGUUUGAAGACCCUGUUCAGCAACGCUCAUUUAACUGCUGCAAUGUGCGGCUGAGGGGAGGAGGGAGUGUGGACUGGGGCAGAAGGUAUUACAUCAUGAUUUCAUAGCAAGUUAUUUUUUAAUUGAAAAACAUUGAAAUUCAACCAGUCACUCAUAGCCCACAAUCUGGCACUGAUAAUAUGUUAGUCUUUUAUUUGCAGAUGUAAUUUGUAUUAUGUAAUUGUCAUUUUCCUGAUGUAUUGCUUUGUGUAUUGUCUACCCCCUUUAGGUUGUGAGCAAGUAGCUGUAUGAUUUUAUUUGUAUGGGCUAUAUACUGUUUUAUCUAAUAUACUAAAAAUGCCCCAAA